rnacentral:tRNA from 1 species
GAGGGUAUAGUUCAGAGGUAGAGUGUGUGUUUAGCACGCCCAAGGUCCUGGGUUUAAUCCCUAGUACCUUCA